GCCCCCAUCGUCUAGAGGCCUAGGACACCGGCCUUUCAAGCCGGUAACAGCGAUUCGAAUUCGCUUGGGGGCAC
rnacentral:tRNA from 1 species